AACGGGACGAAAUGGCCGAAACAAAUUGUUGCUAAUUAAGUAAUUAUACUUCUAUUCCUGUGAUUUCAAAUACCGAAUUGAACUUCGUAUCUUAUAUGUCAGUCAUCCCAACAAGUUGACUUAGCGCUCAAGCUCAGUCAUUUUCCAUGGUCUAUAGAUCCUCAUUCUGUCAAAAGCCUAAAACUCAUGUUUGAAGCACACACAUAGUGGAAUACAAAUGUGCGGAGAUAAGGUAUUUUCCCAUUACUGCUACCACACCAACCACACCACGUCAGAUGCCUUACUAAAUCAUCACCCAUAUGAUAAAGUGUCAGGAAAUAUAUCUCAACUUGAGGAGUAAUGCUGUUGGUUGCUGUAAUUCCAUUAUUACGGUUUUUCAUCAUGACAUUUCAGUGUGCUUCUUAGAAAAGACGACGCAAGAUCCCCACGGACAUCCUUGAGCCAAUGCUGGAUUUUGUCCAUGACAGAAGAGGGACUUCCACCAACGUUCUGCUCCAUCCUUAUCUUCAAGACUUUCACUCGCUCAUGCGGCUCAUCCAGCUUCACUGCUUCAUAUGCUGCUAGCCUGCUAUACAACUUUUCUUGCUUCACUGGCGAGUUGGAUCACUUCAGUUGCUGUGACAUACCUGCAGUCACUCACCACGGGAUUAUGGCCAGAUAAUGCAGAGGAGACGUCGAGAAGAUGGACACCAAAACAUCGCCGGUAUC